rnacentral:lncRNA from 1 species
CCUCUUGUCCCAUAAUAUCUCUAACGGUUUCCUCUUUCUUUAAACUUGCCUCCUUGCUAUCAAUGACAUAUGACUUUGUUUUUCAAGUCCAGCUCUUUAACCUUAUUUCUCAAGUUCAGCUCUUUAACCUUGUUUCUCAUGUUCAGCUUUGUUUUUCAAGUCCAGCUUUUCUCUUCCUCUUAUCUCUUUCAUAUCCUUUGUCAAUACUCCCCCUCAAGCUUAACCAUACAUCAUGGUUGAGCUUGGAAACCAUGAACACAUCCUUCAUUAAAACCUUUGCGUGAAAAUCCCAGUGGGAC